rnacentral:rRNA from 1 species
GUCCUAGCUGUAAACGAUGCUCAUUAGGUGUGGGAGGUAUCGACCCCUUCCGCGCCGACGCAAACGCAUUAAAUGAGCCGCCUGGGAAGUACGGCCGCAAAGGUUGAAACUCGAAAGGAAUUGACGGGGGGCCCGCACAAGCGGUGGAGCAUGUGGUUUAAUUCGACGCAACGCGAAGAACCUUACCUGGGCUUGAACUACCGGCAGUAAAAUCCUGGAACAGGAGAUGACUCGUAAAGUCGAGAUCCGGCAGAGGUGCUGCAUGGUUGUCGU